rnacentral:rRNA from 1 species
AUUGAACGCUGGCGGCAUGCCUUACACAUGCAAGUCGAACGGUAACAGGUCUUCGGAUGCUGACGAGUGGCGAACGGGUGAGUAAUACAUCGGAACGUGCCCGAUCGUGGGGGAUAACGGAGCGAAAGCUUUGCUAAUACCGCAUACGAUCUACGGAUGAAAGCAGGGGACCGCAAGGCCUUGCGCGGACGGAGCGGCCGAUGGCAGAUUAGGUAGUUGGUGGGAUAAAAGCUUACCAAGCCGACGAUCUGUAGCUGGUCUGAGAGGACGGCCAGCCACACUGGGACUGAGACACGGCCCAGACUCCUACGGGAGGCAGCAGUGGGGAAUUUUGGACAAUGGGCGAAAGCCUAAUCCAGCCAUGCCGCGUGCAGGAUGAAGGCCUUCGGGUUGUAAACUGCUUUUGUACGGAACGAAAAGCCUCUUUCUAAUAAAGAGAGGUCAUGACGGUACCGUAAGAAUAAGCACCGGCUAACUACGUGCCAGCAGCCGCCGUAACAC